GUUUAGCCCCGGUAGAAGUGGCAUCCUUUUGUGUCUCGUUCCAAAAAACGAGACACAAAAGAUACAGCGGAUAACGGGACGUCAC
rnacentral:sRNA from 1 species